rnacentral:lncRNA from 1 species
UCCAACACUGGUAGUCGCCAUCAUUGUCACAGCCACUGCCACUGCUUCGCUCACUCAGAGUAUCCAGACUACUCAGACUGUAAACAAUUUGUCUACUGCCAUGGUGAAAGCCUUUGCAGUUCAAAAUGACUUAAAUAAACUGUUCUGAGCUGCUACUCAGCAAGGAACCUCUACCAGGAACAACUAGAUAUUUUGUUUAUGUUGAAAGGCUCACUUGUGACCCUGAAUUUCAUAGUAUUUGUGUCACCUAAUAUACUGUAUCUAAAAAUGUAACCUUACACCUCUCCAAUUUUUCUCAGUAGAUUAAAGGCACUUUGGAUGCUAUUAUGACUAUACAUAACCUUACUAAGGCAAUUUUCAAAAUCAAUGAAAUGAAGGUGUCUAUCUUGACAACCUCUUCCUUCUUCCAGGGAUUGACUAAACAUUGGAAAAACCUGAGAGCCAAAUUAACUAAUCCUUAUAAUGCUAUUACCCUGGCCCUACUGUUUAUAAAGUGAUGUUUUUCUUGUGUGAUGAGAUGCUUAUGUAACCAUGUAAAGGCCACCAAACAAAAAACAGCAAUGCUGGCUGAAGUUCUUGCAGCCCAGUCAGAGUGGGAGUGUGAGGACAAGUGCAUGGAGUACUGCCUACAUGGCAUGUGUAGAGGGCAUCUGAGUGGCAGGCCACUCCCCUCAAGCUAGGUGCAUGAGCAACAGACCACUUACCCCAGAGGCACAGCCCUGGGUGUGAGGCCAUGUGUUGUAGUUUCUGCACUUGCUCCACAACCCACUCCUCAAUGGUCACUGAAAGACAAUUAGCAGAAAUUGCACUGGUGGCUGCCUGUAAUCUGCUUAGCUACUGCCUGAGAUUUUAUUGCAUGGUAGCUGUGCAAUAAAAUCAGACCUGAUUUCUGCUUGGUCUCUGGAGGUCUUGAUUAGCAACUCCGCAUCCACACCCUCCUCUACCUUGUUCCAUGGACCUCCUUACUGGACGAGAGAUAGCCCAUGCAGUAGAAGUCUACAAAGGAAGCACAAGAAGUUUUUGUCAUUUUUAUGCUUCUUGGAAAGAAAUUUCCUAAGUCAUCACACAAUUCAUAGCCUGUAAUCUUAAUAGGUGUUUAAACAAGUUUAUAUGAAAUAAUAUCUGUUAAAUUAAAUUAAAUAAAAUAUCUGUUAAAUUCCGACAGGAAUGAGAAACAAAACCUUGACUACCUCUAGGUCAGCAGUAGGCAGCCAUUAAGAUGGUUUCUAGCGUGUCACAAUGGCCCAUACCUGUAAACACAACAACUCACAAGGCUCAGGUAGAAGAUGAUAAGUUCAAGGCCAGCCUCAACAAUGCAGGUAGACACUGUCUCAAAAACUAAGAGGUCUGGAGAACCACCCUAGUUUCAAUACCUAGUACCAAAAAAAGGGUAAUUUCUAAAUUAUGUCCUGGUCUCUCUGUGUAUGUUUAAUCUCUAUCACAAAGUGACAAGUAUAAAAUAGGCCAAUGAUGGGAUAUUACUUCUGAGAUUAAAUUAUAAAGGUUCUACCACUAUGGAAGAUGAUUAGAGAAAAGGUAGUUUCUCCAAAAAGGGAGUAUAUUUCUCAAAAAGUCCAUGCAAUGGAAUGAGGAGGAGUUUGAUGGGAGAGGACUGCAUUAACAUGAAAGCCUUGAAGGCAUUCUGUAAGUUGAAUCUCAUCUUUAUUCCCUCCUCAGGUUCUUAAGUUUCUCCUUGAUAAAUUUCAGAAUGAAGAGAACAAUCCCAGGAGAAGCAGUCAUUCUGUAUCCUGAGAAUAAUUUUCAGAAUCAAGAAGAGGGGACAAGGAAAAGUAAGGAAGGGUAAUAGUGGGCUGUAAUCAAAGCAUGUUAUAGGCGUGUAUAAAUAUGUCACAAUGAAUCCAAUAUUCUGCAUAAUCAAAAAUUAAUUUUUAAAAAGUCUGCAGCUUAUAUCAUUAUAUCUUGUAGAUACUCUGUUGUUCUCUCUCUCUCUCUCUCUCUCUCUCUCUCUCUCUCUCUCUCUCUCUCUCCAAUAGCCAUAAAAAAGUCUGAAGUAUUCUGCUGAAAAGUCCCUGAAGGGUCAGAGGCCAGGUGGAGAACAGGCAGCACCACAAAGGGCAGCCAUGCAAGUUAGCACCUUAGGUGUAAACACUCCUGUUGAGAGCCACAGCCAAAGGGGCCCCAGCAAACUUCCAGCUGCCAGAUGAUUGGCUCCUCUGCAGUGAUGCUCAUUGGGCUGUUUCCCCGCCCUUUCAGACUACAGAGCUGCUCAUUGGGGGACUCUUUUGGCUCCGCCCACAUGACCCAGCCAAUCGGCCUCAAGAGCAGGAGGAAUGGGGGGGUUGAGAGGCUUGUGGGAAGCCGG